AGCAGGUGGCCAUCACCAAAGAUGCUAGUGGGUACACUUUCUGGUAUAAUUCAUCAUGUACCCAUGUGGCUACAUUCACUUUUGAUUACUGUGAUAUUGUAGAGUGCCCAUUCCCUAAGUCACAGAUUCAAGCCAUUUAUAAAUAUAUACCACAAGCAAAAGACCCUUACGUUUGUGUAGUAGAUGAACAAUGGGGUUAUGACUGUAACUACUGGGGGGCUGCGGGAUGGAAUACUGGGACUGCCUGGGGUUAUAAACCCAAAAGUGCUUUAUCUAAGAUAGACAAUCAGGGUAGAUCCCUCCUUCAAAGAAUGACUUUAAGAAAGCCUGGAGGAAGUACCCCUAUGAAAUUAAUGUUAAAUAUUGAACAUCCUGGCCCCGAGGAUGCAGACCGACAUGUAAUGGGAAUGUAUUGGAAGAAAGGUUCCUACAACAAAUUAGGUCAUUUCUACCUCAGAGAUAUGUACCACUCUCCAGAGUGGCAAGGGGCUGAUCAUAUGGUCCCAAAUCCGCUAAAACCACAUAUCCAGUCCUUUAAAGAUAUGAUGGCCAUCACUAACCCCACUUUUGAAGAUACCAUGGCCGCUGAAACUGGAUUCAAUGACAUUAAUCUGUGGUUAGAAUGGAUGAGGUAUAAUGCUAACAAACAUAAUAAAACAGCAUGUUAUGUAUGUGGCGGUGCCCGACCCCACCUUGGCACCGUCCCACUAACUCUCCCUUUAGAGAUAGAAGAUUGCUUCUUAAGCCUUUUUGCCUACCAAUAUGACUUUAAUAGGUCCCUCUGCAUGGCAUGGACGGCAGAAUACCCUCUCUUAGUUGAAAAUGUUAAACCACCAGAUGGAAUCACAGUCUAUAGAGGUAAUUACACUUGUUAUGCCAUGUAUGACGGGAUUGGUAAAUUCAUGGGUAACUUUUCUAAAGGUUAUUGCGCCACUUACAGAACUGUUCCUAUACGCCUGUUGCAACACCAUACCAGGUCAUUGGGGGAUAUUUACUGGUUAUGUGGGGAUCUACAGUUAAGAUCUAGGCUGGAAACCGAGUGGUGGGGUGAGUGUACCCUGGCCAAAGUUAUCAUGCCCAUUCAUAUUAUUUCUGAUAAUCAUCAUGACACAUACGACCCUCCACAUACAUCAGCCAGAGUAAGGCGCGAAACCCCAGUAAAAGGCAGUUUUGACCCCCACAUUUACAUAGAUGCCAUUGGGGUGCCUAGGGGGUACCUAAUGAAUUUAAAGCUAGAGAUGAAGUAGCUGUAGGUUUUGAAUCACUUUUUACCAUAGUCACUGCCAACAAAAACCUUAAUUGGAUUAAUUAUAUCUAUUACAACCAACAGCGCUUCAUGAACUACACCAGGGAUGCCCUCCAGGGCUUGGCCGAGCAAUUACAGGCCACAUCCCAAAUGACCUUCCAGAACAGACUGGCCUUAGACAUUAUCUUAGCCGAAAAAGGGGGAGUCUGUAAAAUACUUCCUGACACUAUGACUUGUUGCACUUACAUUCCAGAAAACACAGGUCCUAAUGGUAAAGUCACUCUGGCCAUAGCUAAAUUAAAUAGACUCUCAGAAGAGUUAAAGAGAAACUCUAGAGUUACUGAUCCCUGGGAAAAAUGGUUUGGUUGGAUGACUGGUUGGCAGAGAGCUUUAGUCCAGAUUGGUAUUGCCUUACUAAAUUUUCUUUUUAUUCUCGCUCUUCUCAUUUGUUGUGUCCUCCCAUGCCUAAGGAAAUUCCUGCAGAAAACUGUAAACCAAGCAACACCAACCUUCACUCAUCUGACAAUCGAUGAUCAAGACCUCAUCUCACCCUGUAUUCCGCUACAAACUCUCCCGUAUACUGAUGAAGUGCAGAAAGUCUAGGAAGGGACAGUACAGGGAGAAGUAGUAUGGGUAGACUGCCGUACGGAGAAGUAGUGGAUAAGCCACUAUGGGUUACCAGCGGAGUGAAGAGUGUUCCUGAACCGUACUGACGGAUGUGCUGCAGCCUGUUAGGGUCAAGAGAGGGAUAGACUUGCACUUUGCAUUAACACUAAGUCAGCGGUCAUGGGGUUUCUGUGUCUU